AAAGGACAUCACAUCGGUCAUACUGACGUUUGGCUGUUGUCAGCGUUGCAGAUUCGUGACAUUUUGAUCCCUUUCUAUUUUUAACUUACACACUUUGCGUCUACAACCUACAUUUCUAUUAAUAGCUCACUGCGCACUUUUUUACUAAGGCAUCUGCGUCUAUUCAUAGAUCUCGGUUUGAAAAAAAGAUAAAGCGUGUUGUGCCACGUGUCUGGGACGUGUGACGUGUUGUCCCCCUCCCUCUAUUUAAAUACCUGUGAAAGAAAAAGCGGUUGCGCAGAGACUGUGGGGUGGAAAAAAUUAGAGCGAUGGAAUGCGGUCCUACAAAGUUUGCGCUUUGUAAUGACACACCUGCAGCGGACAAUCCCUGGCAGUGACAAAUCAUGACAUGCACGUACUUGUGCAUACUCCGUUUAUUUCCUUUUGGCUGCUAACUUUCUUUGACGAAAUUGGAAAAUGGCUCCUCAAAACUAGAUUUACCAGAGAGGACUGUUCGGUUACUAAAACAAAAAAGCUAUUCCACAAAAAAAAGAAGAAAAAAAAGUAGUCCAGCACUUUAAUAUAACCAUUCUUAUAGUCACGCAUGUCCACGAUGUUGUAAAUCGUUCAUGUGAAAACUUGGAAAUUCUAAUUAUCACUUUACAGUCACUUGCUCAGGGGCGCGCCUUUUCCCCCUCGAGGGUUUUCACGAGGGAUGAAGGGUCUGUCUCUAUCCCUGCCAAGUCAAGCCCACUUGGUCACACCCUUCCCGGCCAACCCCCAACCCCUACACCCCACCUCCUGCUCUGCCCGCCAUGUUCUGUAGGAGGAGGAGAUACGUGUAGUCCUGGCUUUAGCUGGCUUAGCACUAGCAGCAUAUAGCUAGGCGGAGGCGCAACAAGCUCCUUGAACGCCCAAAUAAGUACUCCUGUCUCGGUUUCCCCCUUCUCUUUUUGGAAUUAGCUACGUUUUUUAUUGGUUUGACUUCCACUUGGAGUGACACGAGUACCUAAAGUAUCCCUCUCAAAAAUUCUG
ensembl:lncRNA